rnacentral:rRNA from 1 species
AUGCCCGAGGAUGUUAUCAAGAAGGUCUUCCCUUUAUCUUUGAAGGGAAAGGCAUUGACAUGGUUUUGGCUAUGUGAUGAUAUUAGAUCAUGGAACUACAACCGAUUGAAAUUGGAAUUUCAUCAGAAGUUUUAUCCUAUGCAUCUGGUUCAUCGUGAUCGUAAUUAUAUAUAUAAUUUUUGGCCUCGCGAAGGAGAAAGUAUCACUCAAGCUUGGGGAAGGCUUAAGUCAAUGUUAUAUUCAUGCCCCAAUCAUGAGCUCUCAAGAGAAGUUAUUAUUCAAAAAAAUUAUGCUCGGCUUUCUCUCAAUAAUCGCUCCAUGCUCGAUACUUCUUGUACUGGUUCUUUUAUGAUGAAGACUAUUGAAUUCAAAUGGGAUUUAUUGGAAAGAAUUAAACGCAACUCUGAAGAUUGGGAACUCGGCGAAGGUAAGGAGUCAGGUAUAACAGCUAAGUUUGAUUGUGUUAAAUAUUUUAUGGAUACCGAUGCUUUUCGUGAAUUUAGCACUAAAUAUGGACUGAGAUGGUAG